CUCCUCGUUGCUCAUAGGGGGGAUCGACGACAAAAACCACAUGAUCUUUUACGUCAGCAUAUAUUUGCAUAGGAUGCCAAAUUUAUGUUUCGCGUCCAGGUGACGUGAAAAUGUACAGAAAAGUUGGAUUGUGAAGCAGCAGGACGCUGCUGCUGCUGCCGCUGCGGGGCUGGUGCGGGGCUGCUGCUGCUGCUGCGGGGCUGGAGGAGGUGGUGGAGGAGGAGGAGGAGGUGCGGGGCAUGUUGCAGCCACGCACUGUGUCCCCCCCGCAACACACUCCUGCAAAAACCACCCGCACCCCGCACAGCACCGCAACACGCACAUAUCGGGUCCAUGCGGGGCAACAUCCUGUUGUAGCCGAUCAGAUGCAACAAACGUGCAGAACCGGUCCAUGAAAACACGACCGACAGCGACACCUACAGGACGGGCCCAGAGCUGCACGGCACGUCUGUGUGUCCGCCUGCUGGGUCCAAAGGAUGCAGGUUCCGGUUCUGGACGGUCAAGCUGAUCCACCUGCAACAUCUGGGCUGAUCACCAUCAUUUUUACACCUUCAUCAGGUCAAUUAAAGGUGUUAUUUUAACAUUA